rnacentral:rRNA from 1 species
UACGUAGGGGGCUAGCGUUGUCCGGAAUCAUUGGGCGUAAAGAGCGUGUAGGCGGUCCGGUAAGUCCGCUGUGAAAGUCGGGGGCUCAACCCUCGAAUGCCGGUGGAUACUGUCGGGCUAGAGUGCGGAAGAGGCGAGUGGAAUUCCUGGUGUAGCGGUGAAAUGCGCAGAUAUCGGGAGGAACACCAAUGGCGAAGGCAGCUCGCUGGGGACGGUACUGACGCUGAGACGCGAAAGCGUGGGGAGCAAACAGG